AUUGAACGCUGGCGGCAGGCCUAACACAUGCAAGUCGAACGAGUGGCGGACGGGUGAGUAAUGUCUGGGAAACUGCCCGAUGGAGGGGGAUAACUACUGAAAACGGUAGCUAAUACCGCAUACCAUCGGAUGUGCCCCGAUGGGAUUUGCUAUUAGGGUGGGGAAAGGCUCACCUGGGCGACGAUCCCUAGCUGGUCUGAGAGGGUGACCAGCCACCCUGGAACUUAGACACGGUCCAGACUCCUACGGGAGGCAGCAGUGGGGAAUAUUGCACAAUGGGAGCAAGCCUGAUGCAGCCAUGCCGCGUGUAUGAAGAAGGCCGUCGGGUUGUAAAGUACUUUCAGCGGGGAGGCGUUACCCGCAGAAGAAGCACCGGCUAACUCCGUGCCAGCAGCCGCGGUAAUAC
rnacentral:rRNA from 1 species